CAAAUACAUAUGAACCCGGAACAUAAAAUACAUGGAAAUCGAAAAGAAGGUUAAACUUUGUUGAUUUUGCAGUAACAGAAUAAUAAGACGCGUUAAUAGACUUGGUUUUGUUCCCACGGAAGAUGACGUCUUUGGACGAAAGUGUUCGAAAUGGACUUGUCAGCAUUUGCAAAGGUACUUGCAAACUAAAGUGUGAACUACAAAAAGAGAGAACCGACAAUGAACAUACGAAGAGGUUUGGUCCCCACGACGACUUUACAGAAAACAAUUAUGAUAUGAAUGUCUUACAACCUCUGAUUAACAGCAUUCGCGUAGAGGUAAAGCAGAUUCCUGAAAAGUAUAAAGACUUUUAUGACCUUGGGCCAAGUGAUUCCAAAGACGGUGAUUAUACAUUUUCUACAAGUUCGGCACCGAAUAAAAAACAUCAGACCCUACACGAAAAGAGACGCAUGGCAUUAAGAGGCUUUCUUGGAGAUAUCAACACUAUUUUGGGUCAGUUAAUUGGGGAGGUUGAAAGUCAGAGAAUAACAAGAAAAUUUAUGCCACCAAGUAAUAAUACUAAGCUAAGAACCGUGCCACUUACACCUCAGCUUAUAUCGGAAAUAACUGACGAAAUUGAACACAAUAUGGAUGAGAUCGAGAAAUCGCUCAAAGGAUCAACACAAAGGCAAAGUGUUGACAGUGGCAUUGAAAAUGACUUACCCCUAAAGGAAAAAAUGAAAGAUAUCACAGAAACUCUUAAGGUUCUGCAUGGAAGUAAAGCUAGUGUGGCAGAUAGUUUUGCAGUAAAAUCUUCUCAUAUCAAUGACUAUAUGGCCUGUAGUAGGUCUGCUCAUGAGAGCAGAAUUCGUCGACAAGAAGGUCCAACAGAACAUGAUGACCAAGAAGAGUUCUUUAGUAUAAAACUGUAACAAUUGUUUAAAUUAUAUAAACAGUAUUUUCAAGAAUCAGUUCAUGGCUAUUUUUAUUAUUGUAGGGCUCUUUUUAAACCACAUCUCUUUCGUUAAUAAUCUAUAUGAAUUUAUUAAAACCUAUUUAUAGCAAAAAUAAACAAACGUGGGUGAAGCAUCGUUAAACUAUCUUCGAAAAACGCUGUUAUUUUCACCCAUUGCAAUAUAUGAGUUGGGUGACUGUUUGUUAAUGGAUUUAAAUGAGAAAACAUCUCGAAUACAUAUAAAUGAAAUGCCCAAAACACGAAGCUAUAAGAAAGCAGAACUUGAACUCAUAUACCCCCACCCUUCUAUGUUUUUUACAUCCAUAUUGUCCAAAGCUGUUGCUGUAUCAUUUGAAUUAAAAAAUAGAGACAUACACAAGUAACCUUUUUAUUUUGUAUUUCAGUCAUAACUGUGAUAUGUAUUUCUACUUUACUUCCAAUAUAUUAUGAGAGCCAUUAUCGAUUUUAUAACUUGGUUCUUAUCUCUUUUUAUCUCUAUGUUUUGAUUAAAUUUUAUGUUUUUAGUCGCUAAAUUAUCAUACUAUUUGUGCUGUUUUGUCAAUUGAAACAAGCAGUAGAACUUUUAACGAGAAAAUGAAUGUAAUUAAUUAGACGUAUCAAAACCCAAAUAACUAGACAUUAGCUAAUUAUCAAAGUCCAAGAAUUGACAUACGUCCAUUACAAUCAAUAUUACCGUGAAAAUAUGGGCUGCUGGUAUCCAAUAUUUAAGACACGAUGUACCAUUUUAAAAUCAGUUGGCGACGACGUGUACUCCAUACCUCCGAGUGCCAUUUGCAAUAGGGCCCUUGAGGUAAAACGUCUUUGGUUAAGUGCAAUAUCAAACCGUAUUUCGACGAACAACGGGGAUUAUAAAUUGAAAUUACAGUUUUAAAAAAUGAAUGUAAAUCAGCUUUAUAUACACUCAUAAUAUUAUAUUAAUAUGAGAUUUAAGGCCCAAAUUAAGUUCCCAAAGAAAAGAGAUUUACAUGUACUAGCUACUCACAAAAUAUCUGAAUAAUAUUAGAGGCUAAAAUGGGUUGCCUAGCUACCACUUAUGCAGAAUCUUAAAAGUACGAAAUUUCAUCAGUGGUUGCCAUACUCUGUAUGGAAGCUAAGUUAGUUUCCAUCUUAUAGUGUACAUAUAUAGGCCUAUUACAAUCCAUUAGAUGAGUUAUACAGUUUGUAAAUUAGAAUGUGGUUAUACAAAUUUCAUAUGUCAGUAUAUAAUGAAAUCGUUUGUUAUUAUGUUUAUUGUUUAAGUUUGUCAAUAUUAAAUCAUUUUUUUAAAAAAUGAGAUAAAUAUGUUAUAUAUUGAAUAAAUAUAUAUUUUUACAAGAA